ACUACGGGAGGCAGCAGUGAGGAAUAUUGGUCAAUGGGCGCGAGCCUGAACCAGCCAAGUAGCGUGAAGGAUGACUGCCCUACGGGUUGUAAACUUCUUUUAUAAAGGAAUAAAGUGAGGCACGUGUGCCUUUUUGUAUGGACUUUAUGAAUAAGGAUCGGCUAACUCCGUGCCAGCAGCCGCGGUAAUACGGAGGAUCCGAGCGUUAUCCGGAUUGAGUGGGGUUACAGGGAGCGUAGAUGGGUUGUUAAGUCAGUUGUGAAAGUUUGCGGCUCAACCGUAAAAUUUCAAUUGAUACUGGCAGUCUUGCGUACAGUUGAGGUAGGCGGAAUUCGUGGUGUAGCGGU
rnacentral:rRNA from 1 species